GUUUCAGGCUUUUACUCAGAAAAAUGAGGGAGAAACAACACAUUCAAUGAGUGGACAGUGGAAAUUUCCAGACAUGAAGCCAGCACACGACCGGGAGAGCACCUUUCUUGAUUUUCCUUUUCUAUUGACGAAGCUUUUGUCCGGUUGAAAUACUAUUGAUUAUUUAUGACAAAAACAACUUGAAGAUUGAUUAUAAACAUCGUUUGGCAUGUUUCUACAAACCUUUAUGGUACUUUUUUGAUUUUUCGUCUGUCUGCGCUUUGUGACCGCGCUUUGUUCCAAUGGAAUACUGAACAAAACGCACCAACCAAAUGGAGGUUUUUAGACAUAAAGAGGGACAUUAUCGAACAACAAACAUUUAUUGUGUAACAUGGAGUCUUCGGAGUGCAACCAUAUGAAGAUCAUCAAAGACACAAGAUGUCCGUAACCCGGCCUAGUUCUCUACAGCUUCUGUGAGUGCUCCUACCCAUGCUAUGGCCUCUUUGUCUUCGUCUUCUGACGAUAAUGCGAAAUCGUCAUCAGAAAAUGUGGACCAAAACGCAGCAGGACGUGACACCGGCCUCUGUGAAGACCAUCUCGCCUUUGUCCCAGACCACCUCUGCUACAGCCUUUGUGAAGACCACCACUGUCUCUGUUGUCUCUCAGGGCACCGCUAGCUCUGCUAUAGCCUCUAAGAGGAACCUCAGAGAGCUGAUUGGUGUGUGAACUACCUGCUCAGGCAGACUGGGAAAGCCAUGCAGGACAUGAACCCCAACUCGGAGGAUACUGAUUCAAUGAAAUUACGUUGGACCAACAUGGAAUAGAUGUUGAAUUGACGUCUGUGUCCAGUGGGCUAUUAUCCCUACCACGUUAGAAGUUCAAAAUGGCAAUAGAAAUGAUUUCCCAGUCUUGAAAGCACCAUAAAACUCAUGGUACCCUUCGCCAGUUCAUAUCUAUGUGAAGCUGGAUUCAGUGCUC
rnacentral:lncRNA from 1 species